rnacentral:snRNA from 1 species
AUCGCUUCUCGGCCUUUUGGCUAAGAUCAAGUGUAGUAUCUGUUUCUUAUCAGUUUAAUAUCUGAUAUGUCCUCUAUACGAGGACAAACAUAUUAAAGUGAUUUUUAGAGCUGGGAGCUGAAAAAGGGGCUUGCUCCGUUCGCUCCACGCAUCGUCCUGGUAUUGCAGUGCCGCCGGGUACGGUGCAACCUUC